UGUUUCGGCUAGGGGGUCAUCCCGACUUACCAACCCGAUGCAAACUACGAAUACCGAAGAAUGUUAUCACGGGAGACACACGGCGGGUGCUAACGUCCGUCGUGAAGAGGGAAACAACCCAGACCGCCAGCUAAGGUCCCAAAGUCAUGGUUAAGUGGGAAACGAUGUGGGAAGGCACAGACAGCCAGGAUGUUGGCUUAGAAGCAGCCAUCAUUUAAAGAAAGCGUAAUAGCUCACUGGUCGAGUCGGCCUGCGCGGAAGAUGUAACGGGGCUAAACCAUGCACCGAAGCUGCGGCAGCGACACUAUGUGUUGUUGGGUAGGGGAGCGUUCUGUAAGCCUGCGAAGGUGUGCUGUGAGGCAUGCUGGAGGUAUCAGAAGUGCGAAUGCUGACAUAAGUAACGAUAAAGCGGGUGAAAAGCCCGCUCGCCGGAAGACCAAGGGUUCCUGUCCAACGUUAAUCGGGGCAGGGUGAGUCGACCCCUAAGGCGAGGCCGAAAGGCGUAGUCGAUGGGAAACAGGUUAAUAUUCCUGUACUUGGUGUUACUGCGAAGGGGGGACGGAGAAGGCUAUGUUAGCCGGGCGACGGUUGUCCCGGUUUAAGCAUGUAGGCUGAUUGUCCAGGCAAAUCCGGAUAAUCAAGGCUGAGGUGUGAUGACGAGGCACUACGGUGCUGAAGUAACAAAUGCCCUGCUUCCAGGAAAAGCCUCUAAGCAUCAGGUAACAUCAAAUCGUACCCCAAACCGACACAGGUGGUCAGGUAGAGAAUACCAAGGCGCUUGAGAGAACUCGGGUGAAGGAACUAGGCAAAAUGGUGCCGUAACUUCGGGAGAAGG
rnacentral:rRNA from 1 species